UCUCACAAUUUCAAGGAAAAUUGAAUUCCUGCGGAGCAGCUCGCAGGCCGGGCCGUGGCAUUUCAGAGCGGUUUAGAAGUAAUAUUCCGUUCGCCGGGGCCGUGAAAUAGGAGUCAUUUCUCUAUGGCCCAGCUGCUUUUCCAACCCCUGUCGCCGGCCAGGCAGUGCCUGUAAUUGACCUGGCCCGGCUGGGAGGAAAGAUCUGCCCAGCCGCUGACCGGGCCUAGGGAAAGGGAGAUAUUGUGCCUUAAAGUUCACUGGGUAACAGGAUGAAGAAUAUAUUGAAACCUUCCUCAAAAUAUCAGUGAGAUCAAAGGAAAAUACAGUCUUCACAAAAGACUCCAAGCUACACCCACAUGCAGCAAUUUACAUUUUUUGUUUCCGGAGAAGCUGAUUCCUUAUCCAACCAAACCUGAACAGAACAGAACAUGAAAUAAAACUUAAAACUGGCACCGCGAGGAUCUGUGUUGCAAACCUGCUGUUGAGAUUCAGCCAUAGUCUUUAGCCCACCUGGGUGGCGGCUGGGUGACACACGGGGGGUCCAAGCUUCCUCCCACCCAGACUCAUUGUCCACUGAAACACACACAGAGGAUGGGUUGAGAAACAACCGUUAACCUGCCCUGCACUCCCCCUCCCCGCCCCCCUAGCCAACCUGUUCCUCCCCAUCUCUGCUCCAGCUGAUUCUGCUCAGCGCCGAACCAGGUAAUUCAUCCCCAACUCCGCAUACAAAAAACCCCUCGCACACACAAAAAAAUUCUGAAGUCAUUAAUUUACUUUGGUAGUUUAUUCAGGAGAGCUCGUGUUGCAAAUGAGGCUCUUGAAAUUACGUCGAUAAUUAAUUGUGCAAAUUUGUUUCUAUUAAAUAAAAAUAACACGUAUUGAAGAACUCA